rnacentral:rRNA from 1 species
CAGUAGCCGCGGGAAUACAGAGGAUGCAAGCGUUAUCCGGAAUGAUUGGGCGUAAAGGGCUCGCAGGCGGUUUCUUAAGUCUGAUGUGAAAGCCCCCGGCUCAACCGGGGAGGGUCAUUGGAUACUGGGAAACUUGAGUGCAGAAGAGGAGAGUGGAAUUCCACGUGUAGCGGUGAAAUGCGUAGAGAUGUGGAGGAACACCAGUGGCGAAGGCGACUCCCUGGUCUGUAACUGACGCUGAGGAGCGAAAGCGUGGGGAGCGAACAGGAUUAGAGACCCCAGUAGUCCCUGUCUCUUAUAC